UGGGGAAUCUUGCACAAUGGGGGAAACCCUGAUGCAGCGACGCCGCGUGAACGAAGAAGGCUUUCGAGUCGUAAAGUUCUUUUAUAUGGGAAGAUAAUGACGGUACCAUAAGAAAAAGCCCCGGCUAACUACGUGCCAGCAGCCGCGGUAAUACGUAGGGGGCUAGCGUUGUCCGGAAUCACUGGGCGUAAAGGGUUCGCAGGCGGAAAUGCAAGUCAGGUGUAAAAGGCAGUAGCUUAACUACUGUAAGCAUUUGAAACUGCAUAUCUUGAGAAGAGUAGAGGUAAGUGGAAUUUUUAGUGUAGCGGUGAAAUGCGUAGAUAUUAAAAAGAAUACCGGUGGCGAAGGCGACUUACUGGGCUCAUUCUGACGCUGAGGAACGAAAGCGUGGGUAGCAAACAGG
rnacentral:rRNA from 1 species